AGGAGAGCCGGGAAGUUAGGGGAGGUUUCCCUGAUCUGCAGGAAUCAGCGUGGACGGCAGAGCCUCCCUGACAGGAGAGGGAAUAGUUAUGGAAGGACCUGAGAUGAGUGGAGGCGAGUGUGGAGAGGCUAUGCAGGCCCAGACUCUGGGACCCCGUAGGCCAUGGGAAGAACUUCGAUCUUCAGUCCAGGAGCCCUGGGAACGGAAUAUUGGUACCCGGUUAUUCCAUCAAACACUAAAUCAGAUUAUCCUGGGUGAGACUGAUUCAAUCAGCUGAAAGACCUCAGGAGCGGAACUGAGGCUUCCCUGAGAAAACAUAAAUUCUGCCUAUGGACAGCAAUUUCAGUUCACCCCUAAAAUCCCACCCUCC
rnacentral:lncRNA from 10 species